rnacentral:rRNA from 1 species
UACGGGGGGGGCAAGCGUUGUUCGGAAUUACUGGGCGUAAAGGGCUCGUAGGCGGCCAACUAAGUCAGACGUGAAAUCCCUCGGCUUAACCGGGGAACUGCGUCUGAUACUGGGUGGCUUGAGUUUGGGAGAGGGAUGCGGAAUUCCAGGUGUAGCGGUGAAAUGCGUAGAUAUCAGGAAGAACACCGGUGGCGAAGGCGGCUCUCUGGGCCUUACCUGACGCUGAGGAGCGAAAGCGUGGGUAGCGAACAGG